rnacentral:misc_RNA from 1 species
UCCGGUUUGUCACCGGCAGUCUCCCUAGAGUUCCCGCCAUUACGCGCUGGCAACUAGGGACAAGGGUUGCGCUCGUUACGGGACUUAACCCAACACCUCACGACACGAGCUGACGACAGCCAUGCACCACCUGUGCACAGGCCCCGAAGGGCUGCCGUGUUUCCACGACAUUCCUGUGCAUGUCAAGCCUAGGUAAGGUUCUUCGCGUCGCGUCGAAUUAAACCACACGCUCCGCUGCUUGUGCGGGCCCCCGUCAAUUCCUUUGAGUUUUAGCCUUGCGGCCGUACUCCCCAGGCGGGAUACUUAGAGCGUUAGCGACGGCACCCGGGGACUAUAUAACCCCAGACACCAAGCAUUCAUCGUUUAAGGCUAGGACUA